rnacentral:rRNA from 1 species
UACGGAGGAUCCAAGCGUUAUCCGGAUUUAUUGGGUUUAAAGGGUGCGUAGGCGGAAUGAUAAGUCAGUGGUGAAAGCCUGCAGCUUAACUGCAGAACUGCCAUUGAUACUGUCAAUCUUGAGUACAUUUGAUGUGGGCGGAAUGUGUCAUGUAGCGGUGAAAUGCUUAGAUAUGACACAGAACACCGAUUGCGAAGGCAGCUCACAAAACUGUAA